CCGACGGGUGAGUAACGCGUAUGCAACUUGCCUAUCAGAGGGGGAUAACCCGGCGAAAGUCGGACUAAUACCGCAUGAAGCAGGGAUCCCGCAUGGGAAUAUUUGCUAAAGAUUCAUCGCUGAUAGAUAGGCAUGCGUUCCAUUAGGCAGUUGGCGGGGUAACGGCCCACCAAACCGACGAUGGAUAGGGGUUCUGAGAGGAAGGUCCCCCACAUUGGUACUGAGACACGGACCAA
rnacentral:rRNA from 1 species